rnacentral:rRNA from 1 species
UACGUAGGGCGCAAGCGUUGUCCGGAAUUAUUGGGCGUAAAGAGCUCGUAGGCGGCUUGUCACGUCGAUUGUGAAAGCCCGAGGCUUAACCUCGGGUCUGCAGUCGAUACGGGCUAGCUAGAGUGUGGUAGGGGAGAUCGGAAUUCCUGGUGUAGCGGUGAAAUGCGUAGAUAUCGAGAGGAACACCUGCGGCGAAGGCGGGUUGCUGGGCUGAUACUGACGCUGAGGCGCGAAAGCCAGGGGAGCGAACGGG